UUCUAUAAUUUCUAUCUCUUUAUCAAUAUGAAGAAUCUGUGAUUACAUUGGGACCACCCAGAUAAUUCAGGAUGAUGUCCCCAUCUCAAGAUCCUUAACUUCACAUCCUUAACUUCAUUACGCAGAGUAACAUAUUCACAAGUGCCGGGGAUUAGGAUGUGGACAUUUUCUGGGGCCAUCACUCAGUCGACCACACCAGGGAAUGAAGAAUCAGCGCUGGGGAACAAGAUAAUGACCAACCCACAAAUGACACCGGUCCUGCUCAGCCUUUGAGACUCAACUUUGGUGAAAAUAACCUGUAUCGGCUAGACACCAAAAGGAAGGAAAAACCGGCUUCUGAUACAGAGCCUUUGGUGUUGGUCACGAAAGAAGAAUCCAGCUUCAUUUUCCUAAUCGUUCCUGCUCCUUGCGACGUGAAAGUUAUUUACAUGUUACGUUUUGGAGGCUGUGAGUAAAGACAGAUUUGACUGCCCUGAAGAAGGAAUUCUGGAUCCCUUUCUCUAUUAUAUUUGGAAAUAUGUUGAUAUGGU